rnacentral:rRNA from 1 species
GACGAACGCUGGCGGCGUGCUUAACACAUGCAAGUCGAACGGAAAGGCCCUGCUUUUGUGGGGUGCUCGAGUGGCGAACGGGUGAGUAACACGUGAGUAACCUGCCCUUGACUUUGGGAUAACUUCAGGAAACUGGGGCUAAUACCGGAUAGGAGCUCCUGCUGCAUGGUGGGGGUUGGAAAGUUUCGGCGGUUGGGGAUGGACUCGCGGCUUAUGCGCUUGUUGGUGGGGUAGUGGCUUACCAAGGCUUUGACGGGUAGCCGGCCUGAGAGGGUGACCGGCCCCAUGGGCCUACGGGAGGGGCCAGUGCGCAAUCGGGGGCAAGGGGCGGGAAACUUAGCCAACGGGGCCGAGUCGUGGAGGAGAACCUCCGGGUUGGGGAGCCCUGCUUUUGGGUUGGAAAAGCAUCCGGCUUGUACCGAGGGGUUAGGAAGGUAACUGGAGAAAAAGCACCGGCUAACUUCGUG